rnacentral:tRNA from 1 species
GCCUGGGUGGCUCAGUGGUUGAGUGUCUGCCUUUGGCUCAGAUCAUGAUCCUGGAGUUCUGGGAUCAAGUCCCACAUCAGGCU